rnacentral:sRNA from 1 species
CCUUAGCCCCGAUUGAAGCAGCAUCCUUUCCUGCAGGGGUUCGGCAGGAAAGAUAGAGCGUAAAGCGGGAAUGGCU